ACGGCCGGCUGCGAGCUGCGUCAGGCCCUGAAGCAAUCCCAGCCGGCUGGGAGCGCUCCGUGCAGCUCCCGCGGCAGCACCGUUAUUUGUGAGGGAGAAAAGUGGAUCUGCGUGACGAGCCAGCGGGUGGCAGCAUCGGCAGAGCGCUGCCUCGGUGCGGCUCGGCCCUGCGCGGCUGGCAGCGCCUGCAGGCCGGGCUGUGAAGGGCUCCAGGCCUUCUGGGUCCCCUCUGCGACUUAAAGUGCAGCUCAGAGCCGAGCGCUGGGAGCUCUACUCAUGGCAAUGAACGGACCUGCGCUGACAGCUCGGCUGUGCGGCCCGCAGCAGGGCUGCAUCUUCUCUCAGGUGCCAUCGGAGCUCCUCGCACAGCAGGCCGGCUGCAGAUGCCCUUGACAUGGAAGCAGAGAGGAAAGUGGGGCAGAGGAGGCCUCGGAGGGAGCUGAGGGGAAUCGCUGCUGCACUUCAGGAGCCCGCUGCAGUCACGGAGGGAACUGGAAGCACUGUGGGGAAUGUAAACAAGGCGUUGUCCUCCCAGAGCCGUGUAAACACCACCUCAGAGCGCCCUCAGUGCACAGGGCUGCCGGAUUCUCAGUCUGAACGGAGCAAGGGAUGAAACUGCCUGCAAGCUGUGCUUGUUCUGCGCACAGCACAUAAGGCAGAGCAAUUUAAGAAGGCACUGCUUAAUGCUGGCAGUAAAUACAGAGCUCCCAUUCUGCCCUCAGUUUGCACAAAAAAAGAAUUUCAGUGUGUGUGUGUAUAUAUAUACAUAUAUAAAGCUUCAGAAAACUGAUGAGAAAGUGAAUUUUACGCUGCAUGCUGUAGGGAAGGAGUCGAAG
rnacentral:lncRNA from 1 species